rnacentral:rRNA from 1 species
UACAGAGGGUGCGAGCGUUUGUCCGGAAUCACUGGGCGUAAAGGGCGCGUAGGUGGCGCGACAAGUCAGUGGUGAAAGCUCGACGCUCAACGUCGAGUCGGCCACUGAUACUGUUGGGCUUGAGCACUGUAGAGGCUAAUGGAAUUCCGGGUGUAGCGGUGGAAUGCGUAGAGAUCCGGAAGAACACCGGUGGCGAAGGCGGUUAGCUGGGCAGUUGCUGACACUGAGGCGCGACAGCGUGGGGAGCAAACAGGG